UUUUGUGAACCAAGAAAAAUUUAAUAAUCUACAUAUAUUUACAUACAUAAAAUUGAAUUUAGAACAAGUCCAACCAAGAAACGUUCGGGUUGUGUUGUGUGUUGUGUUGUUGCUUUGCGUUGAGUUGUUGGGUGGUUUUUGGGUUGCGUUGAGUCAUUGGGUUGUGUGUUCAGUUGCGUUGCGUUGCGUUCUGUUGAGUUGUGGGUUGAGUUGUGUUGGGUUGAGUUGCGUUGGGUUGAGUUGAGUUGCGUUGGGUUGAGUUGUGGGUUGAGUUGUUGAGUUGCGUUGGGUUGAGUUGCGUUGAGUUGAGUGGUGGGUUGAGUUGUUGAGCGGCGUUGGGUUGAGUUGCGUUGGGUUGAGUUGUGUUGAGUUGUUGAGCUGCGUUGGGUUGAGUUGCGUGGGGUUGAGUUGUGGGUUGAGUUGUUGAGCUGCGUUGGGUUGAGUUGUGGGUUGAGUUGUUGAGCUGCGUUGGGUUGAGUUGUGGGUUGAGUUGUUGAGCUGCGUUGGGUUGAGUUGUGGGUUGAGUUGUUGAGCUGCGUUGGGUUGAGUUGCGUGGGGUUGAGUUGCGUUGGGUUGAGUUGUUGAGCUGCGUUGGGUUGAGUUGUUGAGCUGCGUUGGGUUGAGUUGUUGAGCUGCGUUGGGUUGAGCUGCGUUGGGUUGAGUUGCGUUGGGUUGAGUUGCGUUGGGUUGAGUUGUUGAGCUGCGUUGGGUUGAGUUGUUGAGCUGCGUUGGGUUGAGUUGCGUUGGGUUGAGUUGCGUUGGGUUGAGUUGUUGAGCUGCGUUGGGUUGAGUUGCGUGGGGUUGAGUUGCGUUGGGUUGAGUUGCGUGGGGUUGAGUUGCGUUGGGUUGAGUUGUUGAGCUGCGUUGGGUUGAGUUGUUGAGCUGCGUUGGGUUGAGUUGCGUUGGGUUGAGUUGUGUUGGGUUGAGUUGUUGAGCUGCGUUGGGUUGAGUUGUGUUGGGUUGAGUUGUUGAGCUGCGUUGGGUUGAGUUGCGUUGGGUUGAGUUGUUGAGCUGCGUUGGGUUGAGUUGCGUGGGGUUGAGUUGCGUUGGGUUGAGCUGCGUUGGGUUGAGUUGCGUUGGGUUGAGUUGCGUUGGGUUGAGUUGCAUUGGGUUGAGUUGUGGGUUGAGUUGUUGAGCUGCGUUGGGUUGAGUUGCGUUGGGUUGAGUUGUGGGUUGAGUUGUUGAGCUGCGUUGGGUUGAGUUGCGUUGGGUUGAGUUGUGGGUUGGGUUGUUGAGCUGCGUUGGGUUGAGCUGCGUUGGGUUGAGUUGCGUUGGGUUGAGUUGUUGAGCUGCGUUGGGUUGAGUUGUGGGUUGAGUUGUUGAGUUGCGUUGGGUUGAGUUGCGUUGGGUUGAGUUGUGGGUUGGGUUGUUGAGUUGCGUUGGGUUGAGUUGCGUUGGGUUGAGUUGUGGGUUGAGUUGUUGAGUUGCGUUGGGUUGAGUUGCGUUGGGUUGAGUUGUGGGUUGAGUUGUUGAGUUGCGUUGGGUUGAGUUGCGUUGGGUUGAGUUGUGGGUUGGGUUGUUGAGUUGCGUUGGGUUGAGUUGUGGGUUGAGUUGUUGAGCUGCGUUGGGUUGGGUUGUGGGUUGAGUUGUUGAGCUGCGUUGGGUUGAGUUGUGGGUUGAGUUGUUGAGCUGCGUUGGGUUGAGUUGUGGGUUGAGUUGUUGAGCUGCGUUGGGUUGAGUUGUGGGUUGAGUUGUUGAGUUGCGUUGGGUUGAGUUGUUGAGCUGCGUUGGGUUGAGUUGUUGAGCUGCGUUGGGUUGGGUUGUGGGUUGAGUUGUUGAGCUGCGUUGGGUUGAGUUGUGGGUUGAGUUGUUGAGUUGCGUUGGGUUGAGUUGUUGAGUUGCGUUGGGUUGAGUUGUUGAGCUGCGUUGGGUUGGGUUGUGGGUUGAGUUGUUGAGCUGCGUUGGGUUGAGUUGUGUUGGGUUGAGUUGUGGGUUGAGUUGUUGAGCUGCGUUGGGUUGAGUUGUUGAGUUGCGUUGGGUUGAGUUGUGUUGGGUUGAGUUGUGGGUUGAGUUGUUGAGUUGCGUUGGGUUGGGUUGUGGGUUGAGUUGUUGAGCUGCGUUGGGUUGAGUUGUUGAGUUGCGUUGGGUUGAGUUGUGGGUUGAGUUGUUGAGUUGCGUUGGGUUGAGUUGUUGAGUUGCGUUGGGUUGAGUUGUUGAGCUGCGUUGGGUUGGGUUGUGGGUUGAGUUGUUGAGCUGCGUUGGGUUGAGUUGUGGGUUGAGUUGUUGAGCUGCGUUGGGUUGAGUUGUUGAGUUGCGUUGGGUUGGGUUGUGGGUUGAGUUGUUGAGCUGCGUUGGGUUGAGUUGUUGAGUUGCGUUGGGUUGAGUUGUUGAGUUGCGUUGGGUUGAGUUGUUGAGCUGCGUUGGGUUGAGUUGUUGAGCUGCGUUGGGUUGAGUUGUGUUGGGUUGAGUUGUGGGUUGAGUUGUUGACCUGCGUUGGGUUGAGUUGUGUUGGGUUGAGUUGCGUUGGGUUGAGUUGUGUUGGGUUGAGUUGUGGGUUGAGUUGUUGAGCUGCGUUGGGGUGGGUUGUGGGGUGAGUUGUUGAGCUGCGUUGGGCUGGAGCUGUGGGUUGAGUUGUGGAGUUGCGUGGGGGUGAGUUGUUGAGUUGCGGUGGGUUGUGUUGUUGAGCUGCGUUGGGUUGAGUUGUGGGGUGAGUUGUUGAGCUGCGUUGGGUUGAGUUGCGUUGGGCUGAGUUGUGGGCUGAGUUGUUGAGCUGCGUUGGGCUGAGUUGUUGAGCUGCGCUGGGCUGAGCUGUGUUGGGCUGAGCUGUGGGCUGAGCUGUUGAGCUGCGCUGGGCUGGGCUGUGGGCUGAGCUGUUGAGCUGCGCUGGGCUGAGCUGUUGAGUUGCGCUGGGCUGAGCUGUGGGCUGAGCUGUUGAGCUGCGUUGGGUUGAGUUGCUGAGCUGCGUUGGGUUGAGUUGUUGAGCUGCGCUGGGCUGGGCUGUGGGUUGAGUUGUUGAGCUGCGUUGGGUUGAGUUGGUGAGUUGCGUUGGGUUGAGUUGUUGAGCUGCGUUGGGUUGAGUUGUUGAGCUGCGCUGGGCCGAGCUGUUGAGCUGCGUUGGGUUGAGUUGAGUUGUGUUGAGUUGUGGGCUGAGUUGUUGAGCUGCGCUGGGCUGAGUUGUGUUGGGCUGAGCUGUGGGCUGAGCUGUUGAGCUGCGCUGGGCUGAGGUGUGGGCUGAGUUGCUGAGCUGCGUUGGGUUGAGUUGCGUUGGGUUGAGUUGUGUUGGGUUGAGUUGUGGGUUGAGUUGUUGAGUUGCGUUGGGUUGAGUUGUGGGUUGAGUUGUUGAGCUGCGUUGGGUUGAGUUGUGGGUUGAGUUGUUGAGUUGCGUUGGGUUGAGUUGUUGAGCUGCGUUGGGUUGAGUUGCGUUGGGUUGAGUUGUGUUGGGUUGAGUUGUGGGUUGAGUUGUUGAGCUGCGUUGAGUUGUGGGUUGAGUUGUUGAGUUGCGUUGGGGUGAGGUGCGGUGGGGUGAGGUGUGUGGGGGUGUGUUGUGGGGUGAGUUGUUGAGCUGCGCUGGGCUGAGUUGUGGGCUGAGCUGUUGAGCUGCGUUGGGCUGAGCUGCGUUGGGCUGAGCUGUGUUGGGCUGAGCUGUGGGCUGAGUUGUUGAGCUGCGUCUGGGCUGAGCUGUGGGCUGAGUUGCUGAGCUGCGUUGGGCUGGAGUUGUUGAGCUGCGUUGGGCUGAGUUGUUGAGCUGCGUUGGGCUGAGUUGUGCUGGGCUGAGUUGUGGCUGAGCUGCUGAGCUGCGCUGGGCUGGAGUUGUGCUGGGCUGAGCUGUGCUGGGCUGAGCUGUGGGCUGAGUUGCUGAGCUGCGUUGGGCUGAGUUGUGGGCUGAGCUGUUGAGCUGCGCUGGGCUGAGUUGCGUUGGGCUGAGUUGUGCUGGGCUGAGCUGUGGGCUGGAGUUGUUGAGCUGCGUUGGGCUGAGCUGUGGGCUGAGUUGUUGAGUUGCGUUGGGUUGAGUUGCUGAGCUGCGUUGGGCUGAGUUGUUGAGCUGCGUUGGGCUGAGCUGUGCUGGGCUGAGCUGUGGGCUGAGUUGUUGAGCUGCGCUGGGCUGAGCUGUGCUGGGCUGAGCUGUGGGCUGAGCUGUUGAGCUGCGCUGGGCUUGAGCUGUGGGCUGAGCUGCUGAGCUGCGUUGGGCUGAGCUGCGCUGGGCUUGAGCUGUGCUGGGUUGAGCUGUGGGCUGAGCUGUUGAGCUGCGUUGGGCUGAGUUGUGGGUUGAGUUGUUGAGCUGCGUUGGGUUGAGCUGCGUUGGGUUGAGUUGCGUUGGGUUGAGUUGUUGAGCUGCGUUGGGUUGAGUUGCGUUGGGUUGAGUUGUGUUGGGUUGAGUUGUGGGUUGAGUUGUUGAGCUGCGUUGAGUUGUGGGUUGAGUUGUUGAGUUGCGUUGGGUUGAGUUGCGUUGGGUUGAGUUGUGUUGGGUUGAGUUGUGGGUUGAGUUGUUGAGUUGCGUUGGGUUGAGUUGUGGGUUGAGUUGUUGAGUUGCGUUGGGUUGAGUUGCGUUGGGUUGAGUUGUGUUGGGUUGAGUUGUGGGUUGAGUUGUUGAGUUGCGUUGGGUUGAGUUGUGGGUUGGGUUGUUGAGCUGCGUUGGGCUGGGCUGGGCUGGGCUGAGCUGUGCUGGGCUGGGCUGGGCUGGGCUGAGCUGUGGGCUGAGUUGUUGAGCUGCGUUGGGCUGAGCUGUGGGCUGAGUUGCUGAGCUGCGUUGGGCUGAGCUGUGGGCUGAGUUGCUGAGCUGCGCUGGGCUGAGCUGUGGGUUGAGUUGUGUUGAGCUGCGUUGGGUUGAGUUGUGGGUUGAGUUGUGUUGAGCUGCGUUGGGUUGAGUUGUGGGUUGAGUUGUGUUGAGCUGCGUUGGGUUGAGUUGUGGGUUGAGUUGUUGAGCUGCGUUGGGUUGAGUUGUUGAGCUGCGUUGGGUUGAGUUGCGUUGGGUUGAGUUGUGUUGGGUUGAGUUGUGGGUUGAGUUGUUGAGCUGCGUUGAGUUGUGG